rnacentral:rRNA from 1 species
UACGAAGGGUCCAAGCGUUAUCCGGAUUUAUUGGGUUUAAAGGGUGCGUAGGCGGCUUAUUAAGUCAGUGGUGAAAGACUUCAGCUUAACUGAAGAAUUGCCAUUGAUACUGAUGAGCUUGAAUAUACUUGAGGUUGGCGGAAUGUGUCAUGUAGCGGUGAAAUGCUUAGAUAUGACACAGAACACCGAUUGCGAAGGCAGCUCGCUAAAGUAUGAUUGACGCUGAGGCACGAAAGCGUGGGGAGCAAACAGG